rnacentral:tRNA from 1 species
AGAAGCUUAGGUUAAACAAACCAGGGGCCUUCAAAGCCCCAAACAAGAACUAAGCCCUCUUAGCUUCUG